GUCAGCUGUGUAACUCAUAUAGUAGUAUGAUCCAAACUCACGGGAUAACCCGUUGGACAACAAUAAAAACAAAUGUACAUUUAUUCAUUUACAACCAUGAAUUGUGUCUUACCUUAGCUGUUUUUGUAGGUUUAGUCAAAAUACACAAAGUACUGUUUACUUGCUCUGAUAGCAUAGCUCCAUCUUGUAAACUUUCCGCCUGCCCUCCCGCACCCUUUAGUUUUAUUUGAACAGAUUCGUCUUUCUCGCCAUUUAAAAACAAUGCUGUUCUGUUCUGAGACGAUUAAUUUGAUAUCUGACACAUCACUGUGGGAUCUUUUAUUCUCAAGUUAUCUGCCUGUAUUGGAUGGAGUUCAUAGGAAUAUUGAUCAAUAUUAAUUUUAUCUAUAUAAUGAUUUUGGGGUUUUAUGUUAUUGUAACAUGAUUGUAUGGAAAUAAAUAGUGUUAAAUAGUGUGAAGAAAAACUCCCAUGGUAAAUGUAGGCCUACACAUGUAAAUAGUUUACAAAUUGUAUCAUAAGUGUUGUAUUUUAGUUUACAUUUAUAUUACAUUGCAUUUACUCAUUUGGCAGAUGCUUUUAUCCAAAGCGACUUAUAUUUGAGGAACAACAUACAAGCAUCAAUAAGGCAUUAAUACAGUAAGUGAAAAUAUAUACUAGUAAGAGCAGCAAUAAAUACUAGUAAGAGCUAAAAGCAGGUCUGGCAUCAAUGAGGUAAAUAUCUAGGGAAAGAGUUAAGGAAAUAGUGCAAUCAAUACAAGAAGAUUGUAAGGAGAAUAAGAGCAGUGUGCAUGUUAGAGGGUAGGGGGUAUAGGUAUUAUAAGAGCAAGUGUUUUUGGAAGAGAUGACUUUUCAAGUUCUUCUUGAAGUUAGAGGGACACCCCUGCUCUGAUGUUAGGUCGUAGCAUUCAGACAUUCAGUUGCAUUAUUAUCUGCAGGAUCUUGGUUAUAAUGGUGAUAUUGCCUUUGAAAUUUAGAUUUCAUAGAGGGCAUGCGUUGAAGUUACUUCCCCUCCUGAACACGCCCCCCCAAACUGGACUGAGUGGCAAAACAUCUGAUAACAUGGCUGUGUUCAGCAGUGGAAACAACGAAACCGGGAGUAAAACAUGCGAUUAUCUGCUCAAAUUAAAGGCAGGUGGACUCGACAGUUAUCCUUACAGCUUAACAAAGAACCAGUGGUCCAUGGACAUCGAGAUGUGGCCAGUAAUCGAGUUUCCUAACAUUUAUAUGAACCUGAUUUCGACGCCGGGAAAAUACACAAAAAACAAAGUGAAGGCGUAUGAAAGCCUUGACGCUUGCUCGUAACGUUACUUCAAGGCAGGAUUUAUCGGCGAAAUGAAAAUGACGAGGACACCUAUGGAUAUUUUGGUCGUCUGUGGACAGCGAUAUCUGUGCAGGUGAAACACAGCCGGAGAAUGAAUGAGCCCCCAUUGAAACCUUGGAUAGCUGCAGAGAAGACAGGGACCGUUUCGACAGCUCAUUGUACAUGUAUGGCAGGACUUCGAGAGACCUGUUCGCGUGCAGCAGCUUUGAUGUUUGCAGUUAUGUCCGGAGUCAGGAUGCGCGAUGACACACCGUGCACUUCAUUGCCAUGCCGGUGGCUUCAGCCAACACAAAGAAAAUAUCUUGCUCUGAACUGUCUUCUAUAGGUAUGACAUGUCCCAGAACAUAGAAAGGUUUUGAAUCCAUGACAUGAAUGUGAUUAUCGAAGCUACACGAAGGAAUUCUGUGUGCUAUGAUGCUAUACCUAAACCUACAGAAAAUGAACUUCCAGACUUUCUGGACAAGCUAAAUCAGCAAACCCAAGAGCAGCUGUGCUCUCUGUAGCUCCAAAACACUCGAAUUUGUCCCUGUGGCUCUGAAAGGUGUCUAUCCUACACCGUUAGGACAACUUUAUGAAGUUGAGAAUGCUGGUCUGACCUACAUUUAACUUCUUGAAAAAUGUGAUAAGGUCUUUGAGGAUUUGAAGAUCACAGACGCCCAGUGUCAGCUUGUUCAACAGGAGACAAAGGGACAGGCUUCAUCAAGGAUGUGGUAUACCUACAGAUACGGCAGGAUAACCGCUUCCAAGUUUGGUGCUGUUAUAAAGAGCAGUGAUGAUAUGCUCUUUUCUUCCCAUAGUCAGCAAAGUUUACUACUGCAGCAACAAGGUGGGGCAUUCAGCAGGAUACCAAGGCUAAGGAGGAAUAUGUCAUCAAGACACGUCAAUUCUGAUGUAACCCCCACUGGGCUCUAUAUUUCCCAACAGUACACUCAUCUUGGUGCAUCACCUGAUGGGAAGGUGUCUUGUGACUGUUGUGGCUCUGGGUGCUUGGAAAUAAAACGCACUUACUUGGCAAAAGACACA